AAGCCAACGGUCAAUUCGCCACCGACCCCACCGGCUUUCACAUUGCCGCCCUCCCCUACCCCGGCCGCGGCCACAUCAACCCCAUGCUCAGCAUCUGCGAACUACUCGCCGCCAAAGGCAUCCUCGUCACUGUGGUUGUAACCGAGGAGUGGGUGGAGCUCCUCGGCGCCCGUGCGGCGACACUGCCAUCAAACAUCCGUCUCCGGUCCAUCCCCAAUGUCCUCCCAUCAGAGGCCAUUCGGGGGGCCAAUUUCGUCGCCUUCAUUGCUG
rnacentral:misc_RNA from 1 species